rnacentral:lncRNA from 1 species
UAAAGUCUUAGAUUCAGUAGAGUUGGGCUUGUUCGUUAUUUCUUUAAAUCUCUUUCUCUUUUCUUUUUUGGGUAAUCUGGAACUAAACUGAGGAGUAGACUAAGAAUUACUUAUGCAAGAACCUCUAUACAUCAUAUGUCUCUCAAUCUUCAUAGUCAUGUGUACCAUCUUAUCAAGAUCUAUGUAGAUGCAGUUCCACAGCAUUGGUAAUCUUCCUAU